GAGUUUGAUCAGUGGCUCAGAUUGAACGCUGGCGGCAUGCUUUACACAUGCAAGUCGAGCGGCAGCGCGGGGGCAACCCUGGCGGCGAGCGGCGGACGGGUGAGUAAUGCAUCGGAACGUAUCCCGUAGUGGGGGACAACCCAGCGAAAGCUGGGCUAAUACCGCAUAUGCUCUACGGAGGAAAGUGAGGGACCCGCAAGGGCCUCACGCUAUGGGAGCGGCCGAUGUCCGAUUAGCUAGUUGGUGGGGUAAAGGCCCACCAAGGCGACGAUCGGUAGCUGGUCUGAGAGGAUGAUCAGCCACACUGGGACUGAGACACGGCCCAGACUCCUACGGGAGGCAGCAGUGGGGAAUUUUGGACAAUGGGGGCAACCCUGAUCCAGCCAUGCCGCGUGCGGGAAGAAGGCCUUCGGGUUGUAAACCGCUUUUGGUCGGGAAGAAAAGGCGUCUCCUAAUACGGGGCGUUCUUGACGGUACCGGCAGAAUAAGCACCGGCUAACUACGUG
rnacentral:rRNA from 1 species